CCUACGGGUGGCUGCAGUGAGGAAUAUUGGUCAAUGGGCGUAAGCCUGAACCAGCCAAGUCGCGUGACGGAUGACUGCUCUAUGGAUUGUAAACCUCUUUUAUAAAGGAAUAAAGUGCGGGACGUGUCCCUUUUUGUAUGUACUUUAUGAAUAAGGAUCGGCUAACUCCGUGCCAGCAGCCGCGGUAAUACGGAGGAUCCGAGCGUUAUCCGGAUUUAUUGGGUUUAAAGGGUGCGUAGGCGGACUUUUAAGUCAGUUGUGAAAGUGUGUGGCUCAACCAUAAAAUUGCAAUUGAAACUGGGAGGCUUGAGUAUAUUUGAGGCAGGCGGAAUGCGUGGUGUAGCGGUGAAAUGCUUAGAUAUCACGAAGAACCCCGAUUGCGAAGGCAGCCUGCUAAGC
rnacentral:rRNA from 1 species